rnacentral:misc_RNA from 1 species
UCCUGCUUAACGCAGGCAGUUUCCUUAGAGUGCCCAGCCUAACCUGAUGGCAACUAAGGAUGAGGGUUGCGCUCGUUGCGGGACUUAACCCAACAUCUCACGACACGAGCUGACGACAGCCAUGCAGCACCUGUGUGGGAGCCAGCCAAACUGAAGGAGAGCGUCUCUGCUCCCCAAACUCCCCAUGUCAAGGCCUGGUAAGGUUCUUCGCGUUGCCUCGAAUUAAACCACAUGCUCCACCGCUUGUGCGGGUCCCCGUCAAUUCCUUUGAGUUUUAAUCUUGCGACCGUACUCCCCAGGCGGAGUGCUUACCGCGUUAGCUGCGUCACUGAAACCUUGAAGGUUCCAACAACUAGCACUCAUCGUUUACAGCGUGGACUAC